GACGAACGCUGGCGGCGUGCUUAACACAUGCAAGUCGAACGGAAAGGCCCUGCUUUUGUCGUGUGCUCGAGUGGCGAACGGGUGAGUAACACGUGAGUAACCUGCCCUUGACUUUGGGAUAACUUCAGGAAACUGGGGCUAAUACCGGAUAGGAGCUCCUGCUGCAUGGUGCGGGUUGGAAAGUUUCGGCGGUUGGGGAUGGACUCGCGGCUUAUCAGCUUGUUGGUGGGGUAGUGGCUUACCAAGGCUUUGACGGGUAGCCGGCCUGAGAGGGUGACCGGCCACAUUGGGACUGAGAGACGGCCCAGACUCCUACGGGAGGCAGCAGUGGGGAAUAUUGCACAAUGGGCGGAAGCCUGAUGCAGCAACGCCGCGUGCGGGAUGACGGCCUUCGGGUUGUAAACCGCUUUCGCCUGUGACGAAGCGUGAGUGACGGUAAUGGGUAAAGAAGCACCGGCUAACUACGUG
rnacentral:rRNA from 1 species